CACUUCUUUUUCUUUGGUUAUCACUGUGACUUCUGGAUCACCACUGAGACUUCCCAGUUGGCUGAGGAACACAUUUUGACCAAUAGGGAAGCAAAAGAAUGAAUGAGACAUGGACCAUGAGAAGAAGAGUAAAGCUUUUGGUGAAAGAAGAGGAGUCAUCGAUAUGGUUUUGCUGCAUAGUGUUUGAAGAGCUUUGAGCUAAAUAUUGCAAAUUUGUAUGUGAAAUACAAGCGAUCUAUCUGAGUUGGAGACAUGCGUUUGGGAAUUAUCUGUGUAUAGGGAGCAAUAAAGACAUGAGCACAGA